UUAGGAAUCUUCCACAAUGGGCGAAAGCCUGAUGGAGCGACGCCGCGUGAGGGAUGAAGGCCUUAGGGUUGUAAACCUCUAAAAGAGGGACGAUAAUGACGGUACCUCUUGAAUAGCACCGGCUAACUCCGUGCCAGCAGCCGCGGUAAUACGGAGGGUGCAAGCGUUAUCCGGAAUCACUGGGCGUAAAGGGCGCGUAGGCGGUCUGUUAAGUCCGAUGUUAAAUCCCGGGGCUCAACCCCGGAUAAGCGUUGGAUACUGGCAGGCUAGACGGUUGGAGAGGCGAGUGGAAUUACCAGUGUGGCGGUAGAAUGCGUAGAUACUGGUAGGAACACCCAUUGCGAAGGCAGCUCGCUGGACAACACGUGACGCUGAGGCGCGAAAGUGUGGGGAGCAAACC
rnacentral:rRNA from 1 species